GGCAAGGGCGGCGUGCUAUACAUGCAAGUCGAACGCACUCUCGUUUAGAUUGAAGGAGCUUGCUCCUGAUUGAUAAACAUUUGAGUGAGUGGCGGACGGGUGAGUAACACGUGGGUAACCUGCCCUAAAGUGGGGGAUAACAUUUGGAAACAGAUGCUAAUACCGCAUAAAACCUAACACCGCAUGGUGUAGGGUUGAAAGAUGGUUUCGGCUAUCACUUUAGGAUGGACCCGCGGUGCAUUAGUUAGUUGGUGAGGUAAAGGCUCACCAAGACCGUGAUGCAUAGCCGACCUGAGAGGGUAAUCGGCCACACUGGGACUGAGACACGGCCCAGACUCCUACGGGAGGCAGCAGUAGGGAAUCUUCCACAAUGGACGAAAGUCUGAUGGAGCAACGCCGCGUGAGUGAAGAAGGUUUUCGGAUCGUAAAACUCUGUUGUUGGAGAAGAAUGUAUCUGAUAGUAACUGAUCAGGUAGUGACGGUAUCCAACCAGAAAGCCACGGCUAACUACGUGCCAGCAGCCGCGGUAAUACGUAGGUGGCAAGCGUUGUCCGGAUUUAUUGGGCGUAAAGCGAGCGCAGGCGGUUUCUUAAGUCUGAUGUGAAAGCCUUCGGCUCAACCGAAGAAGUGCAUCGGAAACUGGGAAACUUGAGUGCAGAAGAGGACAGUGGAACUCCAUGUGUAGCGGUGAAAUGCGUAGAUAUAUGGAAGAACACCAGUGGCGAAGGCGGCUGUCUGGUCUGUAACUGACGCUGAGGCUCGAAAGCAUGGGUAGCAAACAGGAUUAGAUACCCUGGUAGUCCAUGCCGUAACGAUGAGUGCUAGGUGUUGGAGGGUUUCCGCCCUUCAGUGCCGCAGCUAACGCAUUAAGCACUCCGCCUGGGGAGUACGACCGCAAGGUUGAAACUCAAAGGAAUUGACGGGGGCCCGCACAAGCGGUGGAGCAUGUGGUUUAAUUCGAAGCAACGCGAAGACCUUACCAGGUCUUGACAUCCUUUGACCACUCUAGAGAUAGAGCUUUCCCUUCGGGGACAAGUGACAGUGUGCAUGAUGUCGUCAGCUCGUGUCGUGAGAUGUUGGGUUAGUCCCGCAACGAGCGCAACCCUUAUUACUAG
rnacentral:rRNA from 1 species